GAUGAAGAACGCAGCGAAAUGCGAUAAGUAAUGUGAAUUGCAGAAUUCAGUGAAUCAUCGAAUCUUUGAACGCACCUUGCACCCUUUGGACUGCUCCAAAGGGUAUGCUCGUUUGAGUGUCAUUGUACUCUCACACUCUCUGAUCCUUUGGAUUUGGGGAGCAGUGGACUUGGGUGCUUGCUGCUUCCUUGUGGCUCACCUGAAAUGCAUCAGUGCAUCUCUCGAUUGGACAUAGUACGGCGUGAUAAGUGUCUUCGCCGGCACCUCAUAUGAGGGUGGCCGAUCGGGAGCUCUGUGCUUUCAAACCGUCUUCGGACAACGCUGACAACUUGACCUCAAAUCGAGUAGGACUACCCGCUGAACUUAAGCAUAUCAAUAAGCGGAGGA
rnacentral:misc_RNA from 1 species